rnacentral:rRNA from 1 species
GGGAUUGCCUCAGUACGGCGAUCUGAAGCGGCAAAAGCUCAAAUUUGAAAUCUAGCACUUUCAGUGUUCGAGUUGUAAUUUGAAGAAGGUAACUUUGGUUUUGGCUCUUGUCUAUGUUCCUUGGAACAGGACGUCACAGAGGGUGAGAAUCCCGUGCGAUGAGAUGCCCAAUUCCAUGUAAAGUGCUUUCGAAGAGUCGAGUUGUUUGGGAAUGCAGCUCUAAGUGGGUGGUAAAUUCCAUCUAAAGCUAAAUAUUGGCGAGAGACCGAUAGCGAACAAGUACAGUGAUGGAAAGAUGAAAAGAACUUUGAAAAGAGAGUGAAAAAGUACGUGAAAUUGUUGAAAGGGAAGGGCUUGAGAUCAGACUUGGUAUUUUGCGUUCCCUUCCUUUUUGGUUGGGUUCCUCGCAGUUUACUGGGCCAGCAUCGGUUUGGAUGGUAGGAUAAUGACAUUGGAAUGUAGCUUUACUUCGGUGAAGUGUUAUAGACUUUGUUGAUACUGCCUAUCUAGACCGAGGACUGCGUCUUUGACUAGGAUGCUGGCGUAAUGAUCUUAAGCCGCCCGUCUUGAAACACGGAC